rnacentral:rRNA from 1 species
GACCUCGUCCGUGGGGAGACUACCCGCCAAAUUUAAGCAUAUUAAUAAGCGGAGGAAAAGAAACCGACCGGGAUUCCCUGAGUAAGGGCGACUGAAAGGGGAUGAGCCCAGCGCAUAACCUUGCGGUCUUGCUGUGGCCGUCGAGGGGUGUUGCGUUUUGGUGGAUCCGUACCGCUCGAGUUGCUGACCGCCUAAGUCAUUGCUUGAAUGCAGCCCCGAGGAGGGUGGUAGGCCCGUGUGGCGGCGCCUGUAAAAAGGUUGGAGGCAAUUCGGGCGGAGGGGUCUUUACCGUAGAGCCGGGUUGCUUAGUACUGCAGCCCUAAGUAGGUGGUAAACUCCAUCUAGGCUAAAUA